GGCUCCGUGGCUUAAUGGUUACGGCUUCUGUCUCCCAAGCAGAAGGAUCAGGGAUCAAAUCCCGGUCGGUACCU
rfam:Culex pipiens quinquefasciatus supercont3.341 genomic scaffold, whole genome shotgun sequence.